rnacentral:rRNA from 1 species
AUACGUAGGGGGCGAGCGUUGUCCGGAAUGACUGGGCGUAAAGGGCGUGUAGGCGGCCGAUUAAGUCUGGAGUGAAAGUCCCGCAUUCAAUGUGGGAAUUGCUUUGGAGACUGGUUGGCUUGAGUGCGGAAGAGGUAAGUGGAAUUCCCAGUGUAGCGGUGAAAUGCGUAGAGAUUGGGAGGAACACCAGUGGCGAAGGCGACUUACUGGGCCGUAACUGACGCUGAGGCGCGAAAGCGUGGGGAGCGAACAGGAUUAGAUACCCUGGUAGUCCACGCGGUAAACGAUGAAUGCUAGGUGUUGCGGGUAUCGACCCCUGCAGUGCCGGAGUAAACACAAUAAGCAUUCCGCCUGGGGAGUACGGCCGCAAGGUUGAAACUCAAAGGAAUUGACGGGG